CGCCUGGCCUGUUGUUGACGCUGAGGCACGAAAGCGUGGGGAGCAAAUAGGAUUAGAUACCCUAGUAGUCCACGCCGUAAACGAUGAGGACCAAGUGUUGGGGGUGAAACCUCAGUGCUGAAGUUAACGCAGUGAGUCCUCCGCCUGGGGAGUAUGCACGCAAGUGUGAAACUCAAAGGAAUUGACGGGGGCCCGCACAAGCGGUGGAGUAUGUGGUUUAAUUCGAAGCAACGCGAAGAACCUUACCAGGCCUUGACAUGGGAUGCGAAGACGCAGAGAUGCGUUGGAGGCAAACAUCCACACAGGUGGUGCAUGGUUGUCGUCAGCUCGUGUCGUGAGAUGUUGGGUCAAGUCCCGCAACGAGCGCAACCCUUGUGGCAUGUUGCUAACAGGAAAGCUGAGGACUCAUGCCAGACUGCCGGUGACAAACCGGAGGAAGGCGGGGAUGACGUCAAAUCAUCAUGCCCCUUAUGGCCUGGGCUACACACGUACUACAAUGGCGGCUACAAAGAGCGGCGAGACAGGGAUGUCGAGCGAAUCUCAUAAAAGCCGUCCCAGUUCGGAUUGGAGCCUGCAACCCGGCUCCAUGAAGUUGGAAUCGGUAGUAAUCGCGGAUCAGCAUGCCGCGGUGAAUACGUUACCGGGCCUUGUACACACCGCCCGUCAA
rnacentral:rRNA from 1 species